CGGGGUUACAGCCUUGCUGAAUUAUUCACCCUUGUCUUUUGCGUACUUCUUGUUUCCUUGGUGGGUUCGCCCACCACUAGGACAAACAUAAACCUUUUGUAAUUGCAAUCAGCGUCAGUAACAAAUUAAUAAUUACAACUUUCAACAACGGAUCUCUUGGUUCUGGCAUCGAUGAAGAACGCAGCGAAAUGCGAUAAGUAGUGUGAAUUGCAGAAUUCAGUGAAUCAUCGAAUCUUUGAACGCACAUUGCGCCCUUUGGUAUUCCAAAGGGCAUGCCUGUUCGAGCGUCAUUUGUACCCUCAAGCUUUGCUUGGUGUUGGGCGUCUUGUCUCUAGCUUUGCUGGAGACUCGCCUUAAAGUAAUUGGCAGCCGGCCUACUGGUUUCGGAGCGCAGCACAAGUCGCACUCUCUAUCAGCAAAGGUCUAGCAUCCAUUAAGCCUUUUUUCAACUUUUGACCUCGGAUCAGGUAGGGAUACCCGCUGAACUUACGCAUAUCAAU
rnacentral:rRNA from 1 species